rnacentral:lncRNA from 1 species
CGGGAACCAGUCUAACAGCUUGCUGACGUGACAUACAAAAUAUUUGGAUUUUGUUAUUUAAUAUCGUACAGAAAGGUAAAAAAUUGUGCAUAUAGUAUAUGAUCAGAAAAAACAACUGUAUUUAACGAUUUUCUUGAAGGGAGAAAUCUAUCUGUUUGAUAUUAAUUCAAAAUAAAUGACAAAAAGAGGCUUAUGAGGGGAGGACAGGGGUAAGGGAGACAGGGAGAAAGGGUUUAGGAGAAAGGGGUAGGAGAAAGGAGAAAAAGUUGGAGAAAAAAAUAAAAUAUGAAAAAAUAAAAUAUCUUUCUUUUUUCUGGUAAAUUAAAAAAAAAAUAAGGAGAAGAGGGGUAGGAGAAAGGAGAAGAGGGGUGGGAGAAGGGAGAAGGGUACCCCCUGUCCUGCCCCUCGCUUAUGUAUGUGAGACAAUAUCUGAAAAAGUCUAAUUUUUGGAAAUAAGAAAAAACAAAAUUUAUUUUUUUAGACCCAGUAUUUUAAUAGCACAAAUCGAAGAACACACAUUGGGGAUCAAGGAACUGUUGUCUGUAAUUCAAACAAUUGUUUAAUAAGGAAACAAUGGCUAUUUUAAAAAUGGUACAAAACAAAUCCAGUUCUUUCCUGUUACCAAAGUGAAUCAAUUUUAAAAAGUUUUUAAUGGGAAUAAGGAAUAAGUUUAAGACAAUAUUUGUGGUUUACUAGUAUAUCCUGCAAUAGUUUAUCAGAUGCCAAUUGUUUAUUUUAGCAUUUGCAAUACAAAAGGUUUAGAAAUAUACUUAAAUAUAGUCAGAUAUGUCGGUAACAUGAAAGAAUCUUGAGUAACAGCACAACGGUAACAGGACAGAGUUGGUAACAGAAAGGAUUUUUCUGCUUUAUUUUAAAGUUUAAGAAAAAUACAUCAUUUUAAAUUGGUCACAAUUGGAUGAUAACAGCAAACAAUGUCAUUUAUCCUUUCGAAACUGUAUUGCAAGAUGAAAAAUCUGCCUAGGUAAGGAAAUUCUAAAAUAAAUUCCUUUCUGUAUAUCUACUUAACUAGAAUUGCACAAUGUUCUCUGCUGUUAUCAAAAGCAAAAAACCUAUUUUUUUAUUAAAUAUACUGUAUAUUAUUUAGAAAUUUAUUUAAUAUGGUGGUGAUAACUUAUAUUGAAUAAAAUGGUUGGCAUAUAGUAGAUUAACUUUCGAUUCUUCAGUGAAAUUGUCUUGAACAUCCUUCCUGUUACGAUGAUGGUUAUGCUGUUACUUUUUAUCAGGUUAACAUGACAGAACGUAACAGAAAGGAAUUACGCAUAGUUUUGUCCUUUUUAUCACAUUAAAUUAAGUGUAUUUCCUGUGACAUAUAACUUUUAAAAAGAUGAUAUAAAAACACACUUAAUGCUGUGGUACACACUUAAAAAUAUUCUCAGAAAGUGUAAGAAAAGGCUGUAACAGGAUAGAACACCAAUAAGUAUUUUUCUAAAAUUCUUACCUUGGAUGGGCUUGAAUUUUCAAACCUGGCCGCCUUUCCAACUAUUUCUUUGUACUAAUGCAUUCAGGAAAUGAUGCUCUUCACAAUACAUAAUGGGAAAAUAACUCUUGGUCUUAAACGUUCCACAGUAAAAAAAAACCAAGUGGUAACAGGAGGGAAAUCACCCCUGGGACAAAUUUUUUUUCUCUUAAAAAUUUGCAAAAUUUUAUUACAUGCUAUAGUUAUAAAUAAAAAAGAACAAAUUAGGGGCAGUUUUAUAUAUAAUAUAUCAUAUAUGUGAGAAUCGGACGCCUGUUAAUUAAUUUGGAUAUUAUUUGAAUGAUUUAGUUUUCAAAAAAACACAGGGGACAACAUGAUUUUAGGGGGGUUGAACAUUUAAAUAAAAUUUUAUUGGAGAAAUAUAAAAUGAGUGUUUAAUUGGCAGGCCAUGGUGCAUUAUAUAUUAGUUUAUACUGAAUUAAAAUUUUCAAAAAAGAUGGUUGAAUAAAAAAAUAAUUGAUGGUGAAGUGCGGGACAUGGAAAUUAGACUUUUUCAGAUAUUGUCUCAUGUGACUGACUGCAACCGGUUCAGAUAUAAAAGCUUAGCUGCUAUAAAGAGAUGAAUUAAAAAGGAUCAGGCUUUUAUACCCAUGAUAACUUCUUAUUCGAAUUUCAUUUAUAUAGUUGAGCCAAAAAAAAACAAAACAAGAAAAAAAAGCUGACUGUUAAAGGAGGGUGGAUUACCUAACCUAAUAAUGACUUCACAGUUCAGAUAGCAAAGACAUUACCUUUGCCUACACACUCAAUGCAAUCAGCUGUAAAUAAGUUAAGUCUUUAUUUCCAAUAUUGGUAUAAACUACUAAAGUGAGGCAGUGCCCUUAAAGCCAUUAAAGGUAAUUUCUAAUUUUCAAGUUAACAAUAGGAUUUUGCAUGUUUGUUUAACCUUGUAUUUUUAGGUAAUCAGGUUAAACAGUUUGCAGGGAAAUCAUAUGCAUCUUUAUGAUAUAUUAUGGUGGCAUGUCGACUUAAUAAUGAAUAAAUUAUCUUGCUAUCAGUAUCUUGACAAGUUGAUGUUACUUACAUGCCACCGUAAUAUAUUGUACAAACAAACCCCUAAUUUUAAAUAUGCAACUCCAUUAAAAAAAGGUGAAGAAGUUAAAAGCAAUGAAAUUUAUUUUAUAUUUAAAUUUUUUUUUUCAGAUUUAAAGAGAACUUCAGGAUGAGACAGCUGAAAGGAAAAGUGAAGGAAACAAAAAAAGAAAAGAGAGAAAGAAAAGCAGACAAUUUAAAAAAUAAGGACAAAGUAUGGACAGUUGUCUUACCAGUGAUUCUGACUAUAUCUGUUAUUAUUAUAGCCUAUGUUCUGUUGAGCACAAAAGCUCUCUGAUUUUAACUCUUGUUUUAUGGUCAAGGGGAGAUAAUCUCUGUUAAUAUCUUUAUAUACUCAAGAUUUCAUGUUCUCAUAUAGGGAUGAGUCAUUAUCAUUGUCAUAACAGUGGAGUUAAUUUAUGUAUUUUAAGCAUAAUAGAUCAUAUUUAUUGUUGAUAUUUAUCUGGUGAUUUUUUUUACAUUUUCCAGUUUUUAAAAAUGUGGCAGGU